UGUAAGUGUUCCAUGAUGGAUAACACAAAAUGGCUGACGCACAUCCAAAAUAUCCUUGUAACUAUCUGAUCUUAACCUAACUGCUUUUCAAAAUGGCUGACGCACAAAAUGUCUUUGGUCCUCUCCUUCCAU